rnacentral:rRNA from 1 species
AUAAUACUCCAUAGAUUAGAGGCACUGGAAUGUUCUUUAGUCGAAAGUUCUGGCGCCUUAGGAUGGAUCUGCGGUCGAUUAGGUUGUUGUUGGGGUAACGGCCCAACAAGCCUGUAAUCGAUACGGGUUGUGGGAGCAAGAGCCCGGAGAUGGAAUCUGAGACAAGAUUCCAGGCCCUACGGGGCGCAGCAGGCGCGAAAACUUUACAAUGCAGGAAACUGUGAUAAGGGAACUCCGAGUGCCCGUAUACGCGGGCUGUCCAGGUGUUUAAAAAUCAUCUGAAGAAAGGGCCGGGCAAGACCGGUGCCAGCCGCCGCGGUAAUACCGGCGGCUCGAGUGGUGGCCACUAUUAUUGGGCUUAAAGCGUCCGUAGCUGGACCGAUAAGUCUCUUGGGAAAUCCGCCGGCUCAACCGGCGGGCGUCUAAGGGAUACUGUUAGUCUAGGGACCGGGAGAGGUGAGAGGUACUCCGGGGGUAGGAGUGAAAUCCUGUAAUCCCCGGGGGACCACCGAUGGCGAAGGCAUCUCACCAGAACGGCUCCGACAGUGAGGGACGAAAGCUGGGGGAGCGAACCGGAUUAGAUACCCGGGUAGUCCCAGCCGUAAACUAUGCGCGUUAGGUGU